GAUGAACGCUAGCGGCAGGCCUAACACAUGCAAGUCGAGGGAGGAGCUGUCGGGCUUCGACCGGCGUACGGGUGCGUAACGCGUAUACAAUCUGCCUUUCACAUAGGGAUAGCCCGAAGAAAUUUGGAGUAAUACCUAAUGGUAUAUAGGAGUGGCAUCACAUUUAUAUUAAAGCUGAGGCGGUGAAAGAUGAGUAUGCGCUCUAUGAGCUAGUUGGAGAGGUAACGGCUUACCAAGGCGACGAUGGAUAGGCGACCUGAGAGGGAUAUCCCCCACACUGGAACGGAGACACGGUCCAGACUCCUACGGGAGGGAGCAGUAGGGAAUGUGCCGCAAUGGGCGAAAGUGUGACGUAGCAACGCCGCGUGAGUGAUGAAGGUCUUCGGAUCUUAAAACUUUGUUAUUAGGGAAGAACAUAUGUGUAAGUAACUGUGCACAUCUUGACGGUAACUAAUCAGAAAGCCACGGCUAACUACGUG
rnacentral:rRNA from 1 species